GAUGAAGAACGCAGCGAAAUGCGAUAAGUAGUGUGAAUUGCAGAAUUCCGUGAAUCAUCGAAUCUUUGAACGCACAUUGCGCCUUCUGGUAUUCCGGAGGGCAUGCCUGUUCGAGAGUCAUUAACAACCGUUUCGAUCCCUUUCUUUCAGAAAUUACAAAGAGGAAAAGGGUUUGGUUAUGGUGGAGGAGGGAAAGGGAGCGUUUAGCCUGUAAAAAAAGAGGCUGUGUUCCGCCUCCCCCCCAAAAUUGUACAGGCGGUCGUGUGCGCCCACGCAUCGAGGUGUUGUAAAAGCUGCCACGGCACUUUUCACCUGUGCAGUGCGAGAUUGGCCAGCCGGUUUAAAAACCCCUCCAAACAAUCAAAGGUUGACCUCGGAUCAGGUAGGGAUACCCGCUGAACUUAAGCAUAUCAAUAAGCGGAGGA
rnacentral:misc_RNA from 1 species